rnacentral:ncRNA from 1 species
CGCCCAUCAGAAAAAACACAGUCCGGUUGGUAGUCCGGACACAGCAGCGUUUUCUCUGCUGUCAGUAACCUGCCUCCUAAGGUUGUCCGUCUGCAUGGAACUUCAU